GAUGCGGUGGCCAAAAGGUUAGUGCGUUGGACUCUGGAUCGAGUGGUUCCAAGUUUGAACCCUGGCCGGGUCG